rnacentral:other from 1 species
CAUAUCCUGCGGUGUACGUUAUUCCUAUUUGUUUUGAACCGUACUGUUUUAUCGGGAUUCUUAUAUUUGUUGACUGAUGCCAUGCCUCCCUGUAAGCGAGGAUCGCAGGAACGUCAACAUGCGGAAACCCACCUGCGAGAUCGCGGGUUCACAAAACAGAUUGGAAGGACGGCAUAGGCGGGACUUAU